GAUGAAGAACGUAGCGAAAUGCGAUACGUAAUGUGAAUUGCAAAUUCAGUGAAUCAUCGAGUCUUUGAACGCACAUUGCGCCCCCUGGUAUUCCGGGGGGCAUGCCUGUCCGAGCGUCAUUGCUGCCCUCAAGCACGGCUUGUGUGUUGGGCCCCGUCCUCCGAUCCCGGGGGACGGGCCCGAAAGGCAGCGGCAGCACCGCGUCCGGUCCUCGAGCGUAUGGGGCUUUGUCACCCGCUCUGUAGGCCCGGCCGGCGCUUGCCGAUCAACCCAAAUUUUUAUCCAGGUUGACCUCGGAUCAGGUAGGGAUACCCGCUGAACUUAAGCAUAUCAAUAAGCGGAGGA
rnacentral:misc_RNA from 1 species